AAUCUCGACAGCGCAUUUCGGGAGCCACGGCUCCGGGCGCUUUGCUGGGGGCUAAAGGGGUUUAUCCCUUUCCUUGAAUCCCAGCAGGCUAGAACUACCCCCUCCCAGUCUUCAGGCUUGCCACGCUCUCCACCCGAUCCUUCCAUUGAAAGGCAGAGAAGGAAGGAUGUGCUUGGGAACUUUAAGACCCACGAACGACAGCGCACUGAUGGAGCAGCCCAGUGUCUGGGGCAAAGUCCUCGAGGUUCAUUCAUUCAGGAAGCCUCUGACCAGCCUUUACCAUGCGCUGAGUGAGAAGCUGAGGAUAAGGAAAGAGCAAGACCCCCAAGAAACCCUGAUGUCUGGCUGAAAGCCGAAGCAUGACGCAACUUUGCUAUAUUUCUCUCCAACAAGGAUUUGUAUAUUUUCGCUUUCUCCUCAAGUAACACCUGGACCUGCUCCUUUCCCUUCAAACGCUGAGGGCUCAGUCUCCAAGUUCCUUUAUGAAACAGGGUGUACCAUCAGAGACGCAGGAGACUUCAGAAAUGAAGAUGCAAAGACAACAGGGGAAACCAUAUAUGUUUAUGGACAGUCAUGCCAAAGUAUGAUUGGAAGACAAAAAGGUAUGGUCUGAUGGUAAUAAAUGGGGUGGGGUGUUCUCGGCAAGGCCUGUUUGUUUGGAUUUCUUUUUGGCAUCCAUGUGACUUCCCUUUCCCCUGGGUAUAGGGCAGGACACUGUCACAGAGCCUUUAGUGGAGAAGGAAAGAAGAGGGCCAGAGAGUAAACUCCCUUGGAUUUAUGGCCUGCUUCAGGGAAUAAAAGCAUCAGGAAUUCAAGUUUAUGGCCUGCUUGGAAGGGAGGGGAAGAGCUUGGAGAGAAGGUCAGAGAGACCUUCCUGCUUCUGCGGCUUUUUUCCAGUUUCCUUCAGCUUAAACUUCCUGUGUGCUAAGCUAGACCCACCUAAAAGUGAAGUUACAUAUGUGGAUGUUUAUAUGAAGAAUAAAGGACACAAGAAAGGAUUCAAGAAAUGAAAAACGGUGGAGGAAGAUAAACAUUUCAAGAUUCAGAUCACGUUGCUGCCCGAAUUCAGAGUGUCUCUAAGGAAAUAGCUA
rnacentral:lncRNA from 1 species